rnacentral:tRNA from 1 species
GGGGAUAUAGCUCAGUUGGUAGAGUGCUUGCCUUGCAUGCAUAAGGCCCUGGGUUCAAUCCCCAGAACCACCA